AGACAUACAAGAACAUGGUUGAAAUAAUCUUCGGACAAUUGGUGGUCAUUUUCCUGUCUGGAAUUCUCAUCCGAUGUAGAAGCGAGUCAACUUGUGGCGCGUUUACAUCAUAUAAAGAGGAGGACAAUAAAAUCCUGUUGGAAGCGUUAAAUACACUGACAAAUUUAUCAGCAGAGCUACGGGAUACGUUUAUCCUGAUGGAAACCAUCUCGGCAGUAGAUUGUAGAAGUAAGUAUUCGUGCGCUUAGAUAGUAAAUCAUUAACGGUCACUUUGAGUAUAAGAGUCUUGGAUUGAACGACCAUUAUGCUAACCUACCAAUGAAGGCAGGCAACAAUUCACGUUAGUUAAAGCUUGUUCGGAGGUAUCGUAUACAACCAACUAUAUACUCAAUGAAUUGAGGUGCAUUUCAUGUGUAUAAUUAUACAUUUAAUAUCUCAUUGUAAUUUUAUUUUGAUAUAAAGUAUUUUUCAGUGUAACUAGUAUGUAUUGAAUAACAUAAGAAUAUGAUGUAACAAUCACGAGUAAUAUCAUUGUAUUUUAAGUUGUUGCAAUGACCGGUAAUCACGUUUUAUUUUUACCUGUCACAAUGACCGGUAAUCACGUUGUAUUUUUACCUGUCACAAUGACUGGUAAUCACGUUGUAUUUUACCUGUCACAAUGACCGGUAAUCACGUUGUAUUUUUACCUGUCACAAUGACUGGUAAUCACGUUGUAUUUUACCUGUCACAAUGACCGGUAAUCACGUUGUAUUUUUACCUGUCACAAUGACCGGUAAUCACGUUGUAUUUUUACCUGUCACAGUGACCGGUAAUCACGUUGUAUUUUAACUCGUUAUACUGACAGGUCAUCACAUUGUAUUUCAGGUUGUUACAAUGGCCGUUCACGAUGCUAUCAACUCAGCAAAACAAUUACACAUUAUGAUUACUACAUUACAAUGAAAAUGACAACCAAAUAUAUAACAAUGUUUUCAAAUUACACGUACUAAAUCUCCAUAAUGCUUACACAUUCCACUGUAGUACUUUUGAUGUUUACCUAAUGUCGGCUAUUUGAUUAAUGCUAUGAUUAUCGCUAUGGUGCAUUGUACUUAAACGUAUCGUUGUGUACAUUGUAUGUUGAAGAAUGUUUUGGUGUGCAUAGUGUGGUGUGUCUUGUGAUAUGUGAUGUGAUUGUCCUGUUCUCGUAAAGUGUCUGUUGAACAAUUGAUUCCUCUUGGCAGCAAGAUUAUAUUUUCUGAAUUCAUUAUAAUCUAUUAUCAUCUAAGUCUUUUUUUCCAGAAUAACGAAUAAAUUGACAAACUACCUUUGCAUCCAAAGAUGAUAUUUUCAUAUAACCUGUAGAUGCAUAUUUCAAAUACAUUUCAUUUAAGCAUGAAUCUUUUAGUCCUGUGUAUAUAGAGAGAUUUCUCCUAGAUGUACCUUUGGAAAGGACAUUUGGACCAUGAUAUGGAAGAGUUUUGGGCCAAUACGAAAACAAGCUUUUACGGUCAUGGUUUUCUGAGACAGCCGUUAACGGAUAUGAGUGAAUGCUGAAACUGUGGAUGACAAGGGAACAAGUCUGAACCGACGUAUUCUCGAUAUAGAAAAGAAAUAACGGGACGAAAGACGCACAGCUCUCAGAUUGAGAUAAAUACGAGUUUUAUACACUUAUUGGAAGACGAAGGCAGAUGACACUGGACGAGAGUGUAAGCAGUUGGGAGCCGACAUGGCAUCUCCAAGUUGACAAUACUCAAUCGUGAACACUAACCACGUUCCAUUGAGAAGUUGAUGAUAAUUAUUUGAUUUGUAUCUAAAUUAAAUAUAAAAGAAU